rnacentral:rRNA from 1 species
AUGAUCUUUUAAAAAAAAUUAUGCUGUUAUCCCUAAGGUAAUUAAUUUUAAUAAUUUAAAUUUUUAAGUUUUUUUAUUCAAUAAUUAUUGUUUUAUAAAAAAAAAAUUUUUUAAAUUUUUAAAUUACCCCAAUUAAAUUUAUUUAAAAAAAUAAAUAAUUAAAUUUAAUUUUAAUUUUAGUAAAUAAAUAAAAUUCUAUAGGGUCUUGUCGUCUUUUAAAAUAAUUUAAGUUUUUUUACUUAAAUAAAAAUUUAAAAUUUAUUUAAUUGAGACAGUUUAUAUUUCAUUAAAUCAUUCAUUCUAGUUUUUAAUUAAAAAACAAAUUAUUAUGCUACCUUUGUACAGUUAUAAAUUCUGCAGCCAUUUAAUU